UACGUAGGUGGCAAGCGUUGUCCGGAUUUACUGGGCGUAAAGAGCGCGCAGGCGGUCGUGCAAGUCGCGUGUGAAAGCCCCCGGCUCAACUGGGGAGGGUCACGCGAUACUGUUCGACUCGAAGGCAGGAGAGGAAAGCGGAAUUCCACGUGUAGCGGUGAAAUGCGUAGAGAUGUGGAGGAACACCAGUGGCGAAGGCGGCUUUCUGGUCUGUAACUGACGCUGAGGCGCGAAAGCGUGGGGAGCAAACAGG
rnacentral:rRNA from 1 species